GAUAUGGAAAUGCAAUCAGUUGUGACACAUAUUUUGCUUAAUUGUCCAGAGAUUCAAUCAUAUGUCAACUUGUUCGUAAACACAUGGGGUAAUGAAGCUAUCUAUACAGAAUUUUCCAAAUGGCUGAGGAACUAUGUUUACGAUGAAUACUCAAGUGUCCAACAUUUGCAAUUACUGAAAGAAGUAGCACUUGGACCUGAAUCUCAAGUACUGACAAUGAAUAAGUAUUGUGUCAAUGGUUUUAAGUU